AUUGAGACUUUAACAUUUUCAUG
rnacentral:miRNA from 1 species